rfam:Oryza sativa Japonica Group DNA, chromosome 1, cultivar: Nipponbare, complete sequence.
AAUAAGUGCAGCCGUGGGUAUCCGUGUCCAAUAUUUGACUAUCCAUCUUAUUUAAAAAAUUUAUAAAAAAAUAGUCACAUAUAAAGUAUUAUUUAUGUUCUAUCAUCUAAUAAUAAUAAAAAUACUAAUUAUAAAAAAAUUCAAAUAAAACGAAUAGUCAAACGUUGGAUAUGAAUAAUGCAAAACUGUAUUUUUU